rnacentral:lncRNA from 1 species
UGUGGGUGCAGCCUGAGGACAAAGGCAGUGCUGCAUCCCCUGAUCCCCUGCCCCCUACAACCUCCUGCCCAGCCUCUUGGGUGCUCCUCAGCUUGUCGUCAGGGAGGAAGCAGCCAUCUCCUCCGAUGACUGACUUCAAGCCUCAACUCUCCCACAGCUUCUCAAAAGCCAAGGCUGAGGCCAAGUCCUAGCUGCUGCCUUGGGACAGGUCAAGGGCCUCCUGCAAUCUCAUGCACAAACUGGUACCCAUGAGCAUGUGGCCUAAGAGAUUUAUUGACCCCUCUCCAAGUCCUUGCCAGAGGAAUCCUGCACACCUAUAUCCACAAUGAAGGGAGCCAUAUCCCCAGCUGGGUAGCCAUAUCCCUAAUGAUAUCACUUAUGAAAGGUGACAAGUCCUUUCUACCACUCUUAUUUAAGUGAAAAUAUAUUUAGUCAAUUAUG